rnacentral:rRNA from 1 species
UACGUAGGGGGCAAGCGUUGUCCGGAUUUAUUGGGCGUAAAGCGCUCGCAGGUGGUUCGUUGCGUCGUGCGUGAAAGACCCCGGCUCAACUGGGGAGUGUCGUGCGAUACGGGCGAACUGGAGGCCAGUAGGGGGAUGCGGAAUUCCGGGUGUAGUGGUGGAAUGCGUAGAGAGUCGGGAAGAACAUCGGUGGCGAAGGCGGUCUGCUGGGCCGUUGCUGACGCUGAGGCGCGACAGCGUGGGGGAGCAAACAGG